UGAUAUUGCUGGAUAUAGUUGAUUCUGCGUCCAUUUUAUUUGAUGUGUGCAAUGCUUAUGUGGAAACAUGUUUAAUGGUUUCAUUGGUACCGGAAGUGACAUAUGUUUAAGGCUAACGUGGCAUCAGUGAAACCUGUCAUUACUGCAUCGCAGUUCUAGUUACUACUUGAUAUUAUGUGAUAAACAAGAUAUUCACGUCGUACUGUAUGGAGACACAAGAUCUGACAAAUCAACUAAUGAAAAUAUUGUAUGUGUUGUUCAUGAUGUUAUUAGUUCAUAGUUUGUAUUAUCCCUGUCUACUAGUAUUUCAAUAUAGUUUAUUCUACAUUUAUUACAGGUCUUACACUUUAAUUUGAGCCCUGUGUACAUUGGAUCCCCACCCGCCAACCACCGUGCCACCACCAAUAUAAGGAGCCAUGAUGGCUCAGUGAGUAAGACGUUGGCUCGCUAACCUGGAGGUCACGUGUUCAAUCCCUGCGUUGGCCAAGAAAGUUCAUCUGGAUUUUCCGGCGUGGUUCCUCCUUGUCAGUGGUGCAGGACCGAGGGACAACGUAUAGUCGUUCGGAUGGGACGAUAAACAGAGGUCCCGUGUACACAUUGCCGUGGACGUAAAAGAUCCGUUGGCAGUUAGAAUUCGAUAUAAGAGUAGGCCGUAGCGCCACUGUCCGGGCAAAAUUUCCCUCGGACCGUAACUUUCUGAAUUAUGGCCCCUGAUUGUACGAAAAAUCGCGUUUUUAGCUUGUGGACCCUAAAGAGAUCAUAAUUUUUAUCCGAUUUAAAAAAACCAUAUUAUUAUAUCACCGUUACACCCUAAGGACGACUGAAUUCGAAUUUCGUGAAAAUCGGCCCAAAAUUGGGAGACAAAAUGGCCUCCGUCCUUUCUCAAAUAGCGUAAGAAUAUGGUAUAUCAAGGUUGUGGACCCUAUAGAGGUCACAAUUUUUAUCCGAUUUUGGUGAAACUUGAAAUGUAAGUUUAUAACCCAAAGAUCUUGGAUACUUUCGAUAUUCACGCAUAUCGGACUGUAACUUCCUGAAUUAUGGCCCCUGAUUGUAUGAAAAAUCGAGUUUUUAGCAUGUGGACCCUAUAGAGGUCAUAAUUUUUAUCCGAUUUAAAAAAACUUAUUGUCCCCCGCCUUUCGAAGAAAGCAGGGGACUAUUAAAAUGGGUUCGUCCGUCUGUCUGUCUGUCUGUCUGUCUGUCUGUCUGUCUGUCUGUCUGUCUGUCUGUCUGUCUGUCUGUCCGUCUGUCCGUCCGUCUGUCUGUCCGUCACACUUUUUGGGACACAAUAACUCUCUUCCUAAUUGAGCUAGAAUGUUCAAACUUGGUGUAUGUGUUUAUUAGGUCAAUGCCUUGAUGGAGUUCGAAGAUGAGCAUUUUCCGCUUAGGGUAAGCAGAGAUAAGCAAUUUGAUUGGUUGAUGCUUUGGGACACGAUAACUCUCUUCCUAAUUGGGCUAGAAUGUUCAAACUUGGUGUAUGUAUUGAUUAGGUCAAUGCCUUGACGGAGUUCGAAGAUGAGCAUUUUCCGCUUAGGGUAAGCAGAGAUAAGCAAUUUGAUUGGUUGAUGCUUUGGGACACGAUAACUUUUAAUUGAGCUAGAAUGUUCAAACUUGGUGCAUGUGUUUAUUAGGUCAAUGCCUUGAUGGAGUUCGAAGAUGAGCAUUUUCCGCUUAGGGUAAGCAGAGAUAAGCAAUUUGAUUGGUUGAUACUUUGGGGCACGAUAACUCUCUUCCUAAUUGAGCUAGAAUGUUCAAACUUGGUGUAUGUGUUGAUUAGGUCAAUGCCUUGAUGGAGUUCGAAGAUGAGCAUUUUCCGCUUAGGGUAAGCCGAGAUAAGCAAUUUGAUUGGUUGAUGCUUUAGGACACAAUAACUUUAGUUCUAAUUAAGUGAGAUUGAUGAAACUUGGUGUAUAGAUUUAUUAUAUGAAUACCUUAACUAAGUUCGAUAAUGAACAUUUUUUGCUGAGGGUAAGCAGAGUGAUAAGCAAUUUGAUUGGUAGAAACUUUGGAACACAAUAACUCUCCUUCUAAUUGAGGUAGAAUGUUCAAACUUGGCAUAGGUGUCUAUUAGGUGAAUGUUUAAACUUGAUGUAUAUGUAGAUGUUCAUUAGGUGAAUGUCUUGACUGAGUUCAAUAAUUAACAUUUCGAGCUGAAGCUAAGCAGAGCUAAUCGAUUUCAUUUGUCGAUGGUUUGGGACAAGAUAAUCUUGAUUCUAUCUGAUAGAGAGUGAUGAAACUUAGUGAAAAAAAUAAAUGUGCGAUUAAUUAAUAUGUGUCAUCUAUUUAUUUUGCAAUUUCGGCGGGGGACAUCAGCCUCACUGUUGGCUUGUUAUUAUAUCACCGUUACACCCUAAGGAGGACUGAGUUCGAAUUUUUUGAAAAUCGGCCCAAAAUUAACAGACAAAAUGGCUGCCGUUCGUUCUCAAAUAGCGUAAAAAUAUGGUAUAUCAAGGUUGUGGACCCUAUAGAGGUCACAAUUUUUAUCCGAUUUUGUUGAAACUUGAAAUGUAAGUUUAUAACACAAAGAUCUCAGUUCCUUUCGAUAUUUGCGCAUAUCGAAUUGUAAUUUCCUGAAUUAUGGCCCUUGAUUGUAGGAAAAAUCACUUUCUUGUUAGCUUGUUCUCUAUCCAUCUCUCGAAAAUGUGGGCGUAUCCUGCCUGGCAGCCGCUGGUAUUUAUUAAAUGUUACAUUUUUACCGAUAAUAGAUAGUUAAUAAUUACAAUAGUAAUUAAUUUUAAAUAUUAUAUUAUAAUUAUAGUGUAUUUUGAAUAUUAAUUUAGGAAUUUUGGGGAAAUAAUCGUAAUAAUAUGUAAAAUAUUUAUUUAUUAUUUAUCUACUCUUGAGGAAAAUAAUCCUUAAAUGAAUUAGAAAAUAAAGGACAUUUAUUAAUAAUUUAUGUGUAAGCUAUUAAUAAAAUUUAUAUAGGCCUAUAGAUACGACUCAAAGACUCUAGAAGACGCCGUAACAUCAGUAAGAAACGGCCUAUCAUACCGAAAGGCAAGCAAAAAAUUUAAUAACCAUAAUGGCCAAAAACUGGUUUGGUCAAAACGGCCCUACUUUGGUCAUAACGGCCAAAACAUUUGGUCAUAACGACCAAACAUUUUAAAUUUAAUGAAAAACAAUAUGAGUAGAUAUAACUUACCUUUGAUAAAAAAAACAACUGACAAUUAAUCUUUGAUAAAAAUAACUGCUGAGUAUUAAUCAUUUGACAAAAAUAACAAUUCAUUCAUCAGAUAAUCAUUUGAACAUGGUUUCAACUAAUUAUCCUAUCCAAUUUAAAUACUCUUUGAUAAUCUCUUUGAAGAUGGCUACAUGUGAUUAGUGGUGAUUAGCAUUAACACUUUGGCUUCACCAGCGAAUAUGUAGCCUAUAUAUGACCAUCACAGAUGUAUCUAUUCAUCACUACCCCUUUACCAGGAACAAGAUAUGGCUGCUUCAAUUCCAACUAAUAAUAAAUGUGUCACCUGUAGGAAAACCAUCCGGAAGAAUCAACAUGCUAUCGAUUGUGAUAUUUGCAAGAACUGGACACACCGAUCUUGCAACACCGGCAUUUCCAAAGAAGAUUACAUGCAGAUUUUAAACUCAGAAACUGAUUUCAGCUUUACCUGCAGCGUAUGCCGUAUACCAGUUGGUAAUUUUUCACAAAUACAGAUACGGUACUUGCAGAUAAUUCCAAUAUUGUUACACCAACAACAAAUAUAUCUUUCCAUGAGGACGUCUUUGAAAGAUCAAUGGAGGAAGAUAUGGUGUGUGAACCAAGUUCAGCUACAACGGUACCAGAGUUUACAGGAAAAUUACAUGCUGUACUAAUUAAUUAACUGAUUGGAUAAUCCCUAAUUAUAUACUUCACACCCUCUUAUCUCUGAUUAGAAAAAAUAGAUGCUUUUACGGUGUCAUGGAAAAGCAUUUCUUUUUAUGCAUUUCCACCUUUUGCUAAGAUUGGCGGUGUUCUUAAGAAAGUUGAGACAGACUGUGCCACAGGAAUACUUAUUGUGCCAUGGUGGAACACAGAAUUUUCUUCUCAAAGUAAAAUAUUUCACAGCAAACUAAAGACAUUCUCCAAUCAUCAUUGAGGAAACCAUCAAUGGUUCAAUACAGAUCGUACAUCGACAAAAGGUUUAGGUACUGUAAUAAAUGGGAAGUGGAUGCCUUUCAACCAUCUGUAGAAAAUAUUCUGGAAUUCCUAACCUCUCUUUUUAAGUCUGGAUUGAAAUACAGUGCAAUUAACACAGCCCGAAGUGCAUUGUCUUCAUUUAUUACAAUUAACAAUCAACCUGUUGGUUCUUUGCCUAUCGUGACAAGAUUUCUAAAAGGUGUUUUUAAUAUUAGACCUGCUUUACCGAGAAAUAAGUGUUCAUGGGAUGUAAAUAUUGUUCUAUCGUGUUUUCUCCUGUGAAGAAAAUCUCUUUAAAACUUCUGACUUUUAAAUUAAUUAUGUUAUUUAGUUUGUUAUCAGCAAGUCGAAUUCAGACUUUGCGGUUGUUGGAUAUAAGAAAUAUCCGAAUGUGAAAAGGUUCAGUUCAUUUUAUAAUUGGUGACAAAUUAAAGCAAACUAGACCCAGAUUUCAUCAAGAACCUAUCAGGAUAAAAGCUUAUGUUCCUGAUAGAUGUUUGUAUUUAAUGACAGUGUUAAAAGAAUAUGUGGAUAGAACAAAAGAUAUUCGUUCAUCUAAUCAAUUAUUUUUAAGCUUCAUAAAGCCUUAUAAACCAGUUGGCAGGGAAACCAUUUCCAGGUGGAUUAAGACAGUUUUAAAAUCAGCUGGAAUUGAUAUAAAACAAUUUGUUCCUUAUAGUGUUCGAUCAGCAGCAUCGAGUGCUGCACUAAGAGCAUGUGUUCCUAUUCAAUCAAUAAUUAAAAGUGCAGGUUGGUCAUGAGAUACCACAUUCAGAAAAUAUUAUAGGAAACCUUUCUCUAAAGAAGGAAUUUUUAGUGCAAAAAGUUUGGAAAAUUUUCAUAACGAUAAUGACUGAUUACAAAACUUUAAGCUUGUUUAUUCCUUAGAUUAAAGAUCUAAGAUCUGAUGUUAUAAAAUAAUUACUAAUAUGGUUUAAUGUGUUUAAUAAUAAAUGCUUUAUUUUUAAAAAAAAACAAAAUUUACAACUGUCUGCGUUUGAUUACAACUUUGAAGUCUCAUGUAGCCUCUAACCCACAGUCAAUCAACAUAGCAGAAUUUAAAAAUUAAACGAAACUUACCUGGAAGUUGAAGUUUGAUUGUAAUUCUGCUAUGUUGUUGACGAGGUUAGAGGUAACAUGCCCUCCAUGUUGGGUCACUCCUUAGGCUUGUGCUGGAGUAAAAUGUUCCCUAACUUCCUAGCUGUCCCCCUUUUUUUCUUCAUUGUAUUAUGUUUGGAAUCAAACACACUUUAAAGAAUGAUCAUUUAGCUGCGCACGCAUCUCAUAUUACCUCUUACCCCGUCAACAACAUAGCAGAAUUACAAUCAAACUUCAACUUCCAGAAAGAUGGGACGAACUGUCAAAAAAGUUGGUACAUGUGGUUUCGUCGUCAAGUGAUCUCAAAUUCGUUGAAUAAAUUUUAUUUUCAUGUUGAAUUGGACAAGAUAAUCUACGCAGUUAUGGGGGCCCUGUUGCUUUAAAGUUAAAGGAGGUGGAAGACUUUGGAUGAUAUUGAGUUAGAGACAUGUGUAAUUUGACAGAUAAACAAGGAAAACUAUGAUUUCUAUGGAAUUUAAAGCAGCAUUAAAAAUUAUGUGGCAUUUAUGAUAAAAAAACCCUUUAAAAUGAAAUAUAGGCCAGGAACUGAAAUGUGAUUUAGGAUUUGUUGACUUUAAUAUAAUAACAGAUUUCAAGUCUUGAUGGUUGGAGUUUGAUUAUCUGAGCAACCUUUAGCCAGUUUAAUUUUCCUGUGUUCUUUUUUAUAAAGCUUGUAGCUGCGCAGUCCUGACUUGGGAAUUUGCUUCAUUAUUUGAAAUUAGAAAAUUUACAGAACAGAUGGGUUAUGCAUACCUGUGAAAUAAAAGGAUGUGAGGAGGGUUACUGUACAAUUGAUGGAAAUUAGAAGUUAAAAAGGAGUAUAUUUUCUGAAGGUGGCGAAAAGAUUUUAAAUGAAGAGGGUUUAACCAUAAGAGACGUGUGCAUAGAUGAUCCUACAUUUAGUGGAAAAUUUAAAAGAUAGGUUGCCAGGCAACGAAACAUACACCCACAGCAACUAAAUCGUCCGGGCAGUCAACAAGAGUUGUCGCAUAUUUUUACUUUUUUCGGUACUGAAACAUUUAUAAUACACUAAAAUCUGAUUAGGAGCAACAACUCACAAAGUAUUGCAGUCAUCACACAAAAACAGAUGUAAAAGGAGUAAUCACAAAAGAUGAGAAUAAAGAAAAAGAUGCAAUUGGCAUAAAAAGAACAAGAGCCAGCUAUUUAGAAUGUGAUGAAAAAAUGGAAGCAAAGAUGAGAAAAUUAGAAAGGGAAACACACAGCUGCAAAGAUAAAAAGAAUUUAAAUAAGUUCUAUGAUACUUUUGCCGGAAUGUUUUUUGCCAUUAGGCCAUGUGGCGUGAUCGUUAGCUGCACAGAGAUGUACACACAUGAGUCACUCACUCAAGCUUUUAUAUUUCUAAGAAAAGUAUUUUGUAGAAAUACUGAAACUUAGAGGUUGAUGGAGCAGAAGCACUAAUAAAAUCAGUUGACUAUUUAGUCGAUAUCUUUCAUGUAAAUAAACACACAAAAAAAUGUUGUAUGCCCUUGAAGAUUAAUGAUGAAUGUGAAUUUCAUCCAAAAUUAGAGAAGUUUUCUGUUAUUCACCUGCUCAAAAUAUUAUGGGGGAGAUUCCACAGCUAGGUCCACAACCUUGAUAUACCAUAUUUUUACGCUAUUUGAGAACAAGGGGCGGCCAUUUUGUCUGUCAGUUUUGGGCCGAUUUCCACGAAAUUCGAAUUCACCUUCCUUAGGGUGUAACGGUGAUAUACUAAAACGUUUUUUUAAAUCGGAUAAAAAUUAUGACCACUAUAGGGUCCACAAGCUAAAAAUGCUAUUUUUCAUACAAUCAGGGGCCAUAAUUCAGUAAGUUACAAUCCGAUAUGCACGAAUAUCGAAAGGAACCGAGAUCUUUGGGUUAUAAACUUACAUUUCAAAAUCAGAAGAAAAUUGUGACCUCUAGAGGGUCCACAACCUUGAUAUACCAUAUUUUUACGCUAUUUGAGAACGAAGGGCGGCCAUUUUGUCUGUCAGUUUUGAGCCGAUUUUCGCAAAGUUCGAAUUCAACCAUCCUUAGGGUCUAACGGUGAUAUACUAAACCGUUUUUUUUUUUAAAUCGGAUAAAAAUUAUCAUCACUAUAGGGUCCACAAGCUAAAAAUGCUAUUUUUCGUACAAUCAGGGGGCCAUAAUUCGGGAAGUUACAGUAUGAUAUGCACGAAUAUCGAAAGGAACCAAGAUCUUUGGGUUAUAAACUUACAUUUCAAGUUUCAUCAAAAUCAGAAGAAAAUUGUGACCUCUAGAGGGUCCACAACCUUGAUAUACCAUAUUUUUACGCUAUUCGAGAACGAGGGGCGGCCAUUUUGUCUGUCAGUUUUGGGCCGAUUUCCACGAAAUUCGAAUUCACCAUCCUAAGGGUGUAACGGUGAUAUACUAAAACGUUUUUUUAAAUCGGAUAAAAAUUAUGACCACUAUUGGGUCCACAAGUUAAAAAUGCUAUUUUUCGUACAAUCAGGGGCCAUAAUUCAGGAAGUUACAGUCCGAUAUGCACGAAUAUCGAAAGGAACCAAGAUCUUUGGGUUAUAAACUUACAUUUCAAAAUCAGAAGAAAAUUGUGACCUCUAGAGGGUCCACAACCUUGAUAUACCAUAUUUUUACGCUAUUUGAGAACGAGGGGCGGCCAUUUUGUCUGUCAGUUUUGGGCCGAUUUUCGCAAAGUUCGAAUUCAACCAUCCUUAGGGUCUAACGGUGAUAUACUAAAACGUUUUUUUUUUAAAUCGGAUAAAAAUUAUCAUCACUAUAGGGUCCACAAGCUAAAAAUGCUAUUUUUCGUACAAUCAGGAGGCCAUAAUUCAGGAAGUUACAGUCCGAUAUGCACGAAUAUCGAAAGGAACCGAGAUAUUUGGGUUAUAAACUUAUAUUUCAAGUUUCAUCAAAAUCAGAAGAAUAUUGUGACUUCUAGAGGGUCCACAACCUUGAUAUACCAUAUUUUUACGCUAUUUGAGAACGAGGGGCAGCCAUUUGUCUGUCAGUUUUGGGCCGAUUUUCAGGAAAUUUGAACUCAACCAACCUUAGGGUGUAACGGUGAUAUACUAUAACUAUAGGGUCCACAAGCUAAAAAUGCUAUUUUUCGUACAAUCAGGAGGCCAUAAUCCAUGAAGUUACAGUCCGAUACAUGCCAAUAUCAAAAGGAACCAAGAUUCUAGGGAGAUAAAACUAUAUUUCAAGUUUCGUUGAAAUCGGAUAAAAAUUGUGACCUGUAGAGUGUCCACAAACAAUUGUAGGGUGUAACUGUGGUAUCAUACGAUCAAGGGCCAUAAUUCUGGAAGUUACAAUCCGAUAUGCGUGAAUAUCGAAAGUAAUCAAGACCUUUGUGAUAUAAGCAUGUUGGAUCAAAAUCGGAAAAAAGAUGUGGCCUCUAGAGGGUCUACAACCUUGAUAUACCACAUAUUUAUAUUUUUGUACGACGUGCCAUGUCAGCAAUCCAUGACUGUGGUUUUCAACUUCUUCAGUAUCCACCCUACUCUCCUGAUUUAGCUCCCUCAGACUUCUUUCUGUUUCCUGCUCUGAAGAAAUGUCUUUCCGGUAGGCAUUUCCCAUCUGACGAUGACGUCAUUGCCGCUGUGGGUGAUUUUCUACACCCCCAAGACAAAGACUUCUACAGAACUGGAAUAAAGGCUCUGCAACACCGAUGGCAGAAGUGUAUUACAUUGAAGGGGGGGCUAUGUUGAAAAAUAAAUGCAUUUGAUUUGAA